rnacentral:rRNA from 1 species
CCUACGGGAGGCUGCAGUGGGGAAUAUUGGACAAUGGGCGAAAGCCUGAUCCAGCCAUGCCGCGUGUGUGAAGAAGGCCUUCGGGUUGUAAAGCACUUUCAGUGGGGAAGAAAGCCUUGGGGCUAAUACCCUCGAGGAAGGACAUCACCCACAGAAGAAGCACCGGCUAACUCCGUGCCAGCAGCCGCGGUAAUACGGAGGGUGCGAGCGUUAAUCGGAAUUACUGGGCGUAAAGCGCGCGUAGGCGGUCUGAUAAGCCGGUCGUGAAAGCCCCGGGCUCAACCUGGGAACGGCAUCCGGAACUGUCAGGCUAGAGUGCAGGAGAGGAAGGUAGAAUUCCCGGUGUAGCGGUGAAAUGCGUAGAGAUCGGGAGGAAUACCAGUGGCGAAGGCGGCCUUCUGGACUGACACUGACGCUGAGGUGCGAAAGCGUGGGUAGCAAACAGGAUUAGAUACCCGGGUAGUC